AAUCAACGCUGGCGGCGUGCUUAACACAUGCAAGUCGAGCGGUAAGGCCCUUUCGGGGGUACACGAGCGGCGAACGGGUGAGUAACACGUGGGUGACCUGCCCUCAGCUCUGGGAUAAGCCUGGGAAACCGGGUCUAAUACCGGAUAUGACUCCAUGACGCAUGUUGUGGGGUGGAAAGCCUUGUGCGGCUGGGGAUGGGCCCGCGGCCUAUCAGCUUGUUGGUGGGGUGAUGGCCUACCAAGGCGA
rnacentral:rRNA from 1 species